GGAGUCACUGCUGAUAGGCAUGAAUAAGUUCUUGCAAAGCUUGGCCAUCACAUUUAGAAGGGACCCCAACAACUUUAGACCAAGAAUCAACAAACUGAACUCUGUGAAGGAUGCGGAUCAAAAGAGGACUGGUAACUAUUUCUUCCUGGAAGAUUAGUGACUGACUCAAUAGGCACGAUACAAUGGUACCACCGAGAAAAAGUGACCAGGAUUUGGAACCAGGACUUGGUUGGAGCAGCAGGCGAUGAGAUAGCGGUGCAAGUGUCACGCAGCUUUUUCUCACAAUUGGCAUCUGAAGAAUUGCUCGGUCUAACCUCAGUGAUUGGCGGUCAUGGGAUCCUGGUACUACUCCUGCUCGAUAACGACAUGGACUCUGAAUGCCCUUGGUCUACAUAUCGGCAACAAUUGCCUUCUCUCUAUAGCAGCCGGAGAGAGUAUCACACAUUUAUCUGCGUGAAAUCGCUGCGGUUCCUGAUAAGCGUUAGCUAGUCUU